GGCGGCGCCGCGUUAGCUGGUUCUGGGUUGUGGCGUCCGAGGAGCCGCGACGGUUUCUGCCCUCGGGCCGGCAACGCUUGACUGGCCCCUGCGGCGGCCCGUAGC